CCCCCAUUUCUUCUUGGCAUUCAAAACCUUUCAUUUUUCUUUCUAAUUUCGCAUCGCAGCUCCAUCUCUGUCUUUGCCAGUAUGCAAAACCCACAUAUCCGGCCCCAAACUUAAUUUUGAGCCGUCUUCAUCUCUAUCAAAAUCGCAGAAGAUCACCGAUUCUCUCUCCCAAAAUUUCCCAAUAAAGAUGAGCAAGGGACCUGGACUUUUAACCAUCGGCAAAAAAGCAAGAUCUUCUGACGAAUGACUACAGCUCCGAUCGGAAAUUCACCGUCUCGAUUGUGUCAGUUUGGAGUUGUUACUAUGUAUCAUCUCUUUUCUUUGUUUCAUAUUAUUCUAGACUUCGAUAUUUAUGUGCAUGCAUCUAAUAUUGACAUGGAUCCAAGCACAAAUCUCAGAAAAAAAGAGGUAUAAAUCUUUGUCUGACUUUUUUUAUUCAAAUUGUUGUGCUUAUUGAGCUACAAAACAACCAAUGUCUGAUAUAUUUGUAUGUAUAGUUUGUGAAUUGGGCAUGAACAUUUAUUUGGGUAAGCUUGAAUUCUGCAUAUAAACUGUUUGUUUAGGUUAAUUUGUUGUCUGGAGCUGAAACUUUCCUUGCUGCUAUUUAUCUAUUUCUAUUGACCUUUCGCAUUAGCGAAAAUGAUAAAUGACAGUAUUCAUUUAAUUACCUUGCCACGAUUUAGCUGUACCUCUAAAGACCUAUCUGCCUGAUGGAGAUAUUGAUUUGAUUGCUUUCGGUGUUGUGAAUGUUGAGGAGGCGCUGGUGCACUGUCCUUGAAAGGGAAUAUCAAAAUAUGGCUGCUGAGUUUAUGGUGAAAGAUGUCUAGUUGAUUCGGGCUAAGGUUUUUAGCUUUUACCUCUUAACUUUAUUAGAUUGAUGAUAGGUAUAAGUUACAACUUAGUGUUGACGCUGCCAUCUAUGUCUAGUAAAGUUUUUGUGCUGAGUUGAUGUUGUGUAACUUGCAUUUCCCUUUAAUUAAAUUAUUACGUGCUUGUCUAUGUCAUUAGUCAUUAUUUUGAUUCUAGUUAACAAACUUUUGAUUUUCCUCUGUAAGACUAUUUGUUUUUGUUGUGGCAGGUCAAGCUUGUAAAGUGCCUUGUACAAAAUAUUGGGGUCGAUAUUUCCUUCACACAGUUUGGAGGGCUAUGUACACUAUGCUUUCAUGUGCAGUCAUUCACACAGAGCUGAAUUGAAAAUGAAGUUCAAUUUCUCACAAAUGAAUUAAAUGAUUUACCAAAUUUCAUUCGUAUAAUCGGAUUCUUUUUGGGAAGCUCUGAGUUGUCUAAUGAAACUGGUAUUUCAAGUCUUCUAUUAAAAGUAUAUGCUGACUUAUGCCUUAUAAGUUAUAACCGAUAACCUUGAAUGGUAUGUAAUUAGUCGUACUCUGUUGAGUGGUGACUCCACCUGCUUCUGUUCUUUUCAUAUAGUUUUACUUUAAUCU